rnacentral:rRNA from 1 species
GAUCAUGGCUCAGAUUGAACGCUACCUUAAUGCUUUACACAUGCAAGUCGGACGGCAGCGUGUCCUUCGGGAUGACGGCGAGUGGCGAACGGGUGAGUAAUGUAUCGGAACGUGUCUGGUAGUGGGGGAUAACUACGCGAAAGCGUGGCUAAUACCGCAUACGACCUUUGGGUGAAAGCAGGGGACCUUUCGGGGCCUUGCGCUAUUGGGGUGGCCGAUAUCGGAUUAGCUAGUUGGUGGGGUAAUGGCCUACCAAGGCAUCGAUCCGUAGCUGGUUUGAGAGGACGACCAGCCACACUGGGACUGAGACACGGCCCAGACUCCUANUGGAGGCAGCAGUGGGGAAUUUUGGACAAUGGGGGCAACCCUGAUCCAGCCAUUUCGCGUGUGCGAUGAAGGCCUUCGGGUUGUAAAGCACUUUUGGCGGGGAAGAAAUACGCUGGGUUAAUACCCUGGCGGGCUGACGGUACCCGCAGAAUAAGCACCGGCUAACUACGUGCCAGCAGCCGCGGUAAUACGUAGGGUGCGAGCGUUAAUCGGAAUUACUGGGCGUAAAGGGUGCGUAGGCGGUUACGCAAGACAGAGGUGAAAUCCCCGUGCUCAACAUGGGAAUUGCCUUUGUGACUGCGUGGCUAGAGUAUGUCAGAGGGGGGUAGAAUUCCACGUGUAGCA